CUUUUCUUUCCGAAUAGCUACAAUGUAGCCACCACAUAUGUACAUAACCUAUAAACAUAACCAUACAUAUUGAUACAUAUUUAUUUUAAUUUGAUUGUUCUGUAUGUCCCGUCUUAAUAUAUUUGCAGCUUAAAUUUAGUUUACAAUUGUAAAACAUGUCGAAUAUUUUAUUAAAGUGCUUAGUUGAAUUUAAUAACACUGUUUUGCAUGAGAGUCAAAAUUUACUUUGUAUAAAGAAUGUCAUCAGUUAUAGCCAUUAUAGAACGUUUGCUGUAAGAAAACGUUUUUAUCGUAAAACUGGCAUCCUUCAUAGUAACGGAAAUUUUGAAAUUACACUUGAUCAACGUAAGUUAAAGACUCCAAAAGGGAACUUGUUUAAUGUAAAAAGUGAGCCUUUAGCUUUAGCCGUUGCAGCUGAAUGGGAUGCUCAAACUGAAAAAAUUCAACAAAGUCAUAUGCAUUUAACUACAUUAUGCAACACUGUUAUA